UACAGAGGUCCCAAGCGUUGUUCGGAUUCAUUGGGCGUAAAGGGUGCGUAGGUGGCGAGGUAAGUCUGGUGUGAAAUCUCGGGGCUCAACCCCGAAACUGCACUGGAUACUGCCUUGCUCGAGUACUGGAGAGGAGAUUGGAAUUUACGGUGUAGCAGUGAAAUGCGUAGAUAUCGUAAGGAAGACCAGUGGCGAAGGCGAAUCUCUGGACAGUUACUGACACUGAGGCACGAAGGCCAGGGAGGCAAACGGG
rnacentral:rRNA from 1 species